UAUAUUCGAAAUCUUGUGAUGUAUAUUCUAUAAUCUUGUGAUGUAUAUUCGAAAUCUUGUGAUGUAUAUUCGAAAUCUUGUUAUGUAUAUUCUAUAAUCUUGUGAUGUAUAUUCGAAAUCUUGUGAUGUAUGUUCGAUAAUCUUGUGAUGUAUAUUCGAAAUCUUGUGAUGUGUGUUCUACAAUUUAGUGAUGCGUGAAAUAAUAUUGCAUGACGCAACAGAAAAGUAAGAACAAUUUUCAUUGGUUAGAAAAAACGAAAGUAGCCGGAGCGGUCGUAAUGCAUGUACAACUUCGCAAGCAUGAAAUUGGCGAUUUUCAACCUAAAGUCAAAAUUAUAGGUACACAUGAUCGAUGUAACUUCCUCGAUGGUGUGUUGACUGUUUGCCCAUGUGUAUUUCGGGGUAUAGGAGUAGCCUCCCCUUUUAAAGAUCCAAAAUGGUGAUUUUACAGUGCGGCAUGCAGUCUGGUCAUCAAGGGAGAGUUUUGACACCCUCCAAGACAGGAAGUUGAGGAAUAAAGUUGACAGGACAUCCUGAACUACCAGCUUAUGAGGGAACCAGCUGCAGUGGACAAAGUACGUUACAUCAUAGGAUAAUAGCA